AACGAACGCUGGCGGCAUGCCUAGCACAUGCAAGUCGAACGAGACCUUCGGGUCUAGUGGCGCACGGGUGCGUAACGCGUGGGAACCUGCCCUUAGGUUCGGAAUAACUCCCCGAAAGGGGUGCUAAUACCGGAUAAUGUCUUCGGACCAAAGAUUUAUCGCCUGUGGAUGGGCCCGCGUUGGAUUAGCUAGUUGGUAGGGUAAAAGCCUACCAAGGCGACGAUCCAUAGCUGGUCUGAGAGGAUGAUCAGCCACACUGGGACUGAGACACGGCCCAGACUCCUACGGGAGGCAGCAGUGGGGAAUAUUGGACAAUGGGCGAAAGCCUGAUCCAGCAAUGCCGCGUGAGUGAUGAAGGCCUUAGGGUUGUAAAGCUCUUUUACCCGGGAUGAUAAUGACAGUACCGGGAGAAUAAGCUCCGGCUAACUCCGUG
rnacentral:rRNA from 1 species